CCACGCAAUAACAAAAAACACACACAGAGAUUGGAGCGAACUGGCCUGGUGAGAACCGAGAACGAAGCAGCCACAAGGGACGAUGCCUUUGUGCACGAGGGGCGGAUGGUUACCUUAGAUCGGGUAUGGGUGGCACCAGUGUUGGAAAAAUUAGGAGAUCAAGCUGAAUGAAGUCAGUGCCCAUGCCAAUCUUGAGUUCCGAUGGAUGGGGCCAGCGAGAUCAAGCAGUCCAACCAGUGCUGCAGAGUUUUAGGGUGAGAUCAAGCAUUCCAAUCAGUGCUGCAGAGUUUUAGGGUGAGAUCAAGCAUUCCAACCAGUGCUGCAGAGUUUUAGGCAGUCCAAUCCAUGUCUGCAGAGUCCAAGCAGGCUUUAUGGAUCGACGUGAGAAUACAGUGAGAUAUGGAUAGUUCAUCGAGGAGGAAUCGUUUCUUUGUAAUGUA
rnacentral:lncRNA from 1 species